rnacentral:rRNA from 1 species
AGUGAACGCUGGCGGUAGGCCUAACACAUGCAAGCCGAACGGCAGCACAGUGAGAGCUUGCUCUUACGGGUGGCGAGUGGCGGACGGGUGAGGAAUACAUCGGAAUCUACUUUUUCGUGGGGGAUAACGUAGGGAAACUUACGCUAAUACCGCAUACGACCUACGGGUGAAAGCAGGGGAUCUUCGGACCUUGCGCGAUUGAAUGAGCCGAUGUCGGAUUAGCUAGUUGGCGGGGUAAAGGCCCACCAAGGCGACGAUCCGUAGCUGGUCUGAGAGGAUGAUCAGCCACACUGGAACUGAGACACGGUCCAGACUCCUACGGGAGGCAGCAGUGGGGAAUAUUGGACAAAGGGCGCAAGCCUGAUCCAGCCAUGCCGCGUGGGUGAAGAAGGCCUUCGGGUUGUAAAGCCCUUUUGUUGGGAAAGAAAAGCAGCAGGUUAAUACCCCGCUGUUCUGACGGUACCCAAAGAAUAAGUACCGGCUAACUUCGUG